AAAAAAAAUUAUUCCACUCAAUUUGUUUAAAACAACAAUAACACAAUAGUUUGAAAUUUUACUCAUUAUUUCUGCAUCUCCCAAUCCCUUCCUCCCUUUUCUUUAGAUGUUUAGAAUAAUAUUCUUUGUUUAUCACAGCUGUGCUUUUUACUUUCAUAUAUUUUCUCUGGAAUUUUCAACUCCCUGGUAAACUCACUCCUCAAGUUAAAUCUCAAUAGAUUCUUACUCUUCUAUAAAUACAUCCAGCUAAAUAUAUCAAAUGUUCCUCAAAAUCCAUAUGUCCAAAACUAAAAUUAUUUCUUCGAAUAAAACCUUUUUUUUCUAUUCCUGUUAAUGGUACAACCAUAGUUGCAGUUCCAAAAACUCAAAUAUUUUGCUUCAGGUCAUCCUGUCCUUCUUGACUACAUACCCAGAAAAUCACCAAGUCCAGCUGAAUCUACUGCUAUAAUCUCUCUUUCUCUCCCCCACCUUUCCAUCCUAACCUAGAUCCUCCUUGUCAGCCUCCUACACUCCCAGUAGCCUCUCAUUUACCUCUCCCAUUCUUUACUUCCUUCCCCAGCCUGUGUUUCAUGAUGUUACCUGAUUAAUCUUUCUAAACUAGAGCUCUGCUCAAGCCUAACCACCACCCAAAAGACUCUACAGAUAAGAGCCUACCCAUUCACAUUCAAUAUGCUUCAUGAUUUGGUCCCACAUGUUUACUUGUUUCACAAACUUUUAUUGAUUUCACACGCUAUCUAUGUGUGCUGAGUGUACUGCAGGCUGAGGUUACAGAGAUGAAUAAAUUAGGGUACCUACUCUAAAACUCACAUAAUUUAGAUAAAAUAUAGACCCUUAAAAUAAUUAAAAUGUAAACUGUGAUGAGUAUAAUACUAGAGACCAUUAUUAAGUGCUAUUGGACAACAAUCUACGACAGGACUAUCUGAUCUCAUAUAGAUUAUCCUGGAUAGUCCCUUCAUAGAAAUCAAAUCUAGAAGGGACUUUAGACAUUAUUUCACCCAACUUUCUCCUUCCAGAUCAUUCCUCAAGUAAAAGCUCAAUGGCCUCUUACUCUAUUAUACCUAUUUACCCCCAGCCACCUCACGCCUUAACACACAAACACACACACACAAACUAAAACCAUGACGCAGAGGCCUGUUGUUCCCGUAAUGAUAAAGAGUGUUGCCACAUUGGAUUCCAGGCAAAAGGAAGGGAUCAUGUGCAUUUCUCAUUAGGCAUAUUGCAAUAUUGAGCACAGCUUCACGAGAAGCAAGUUAUUACCCAUAGAGCUUGUGGGAGACCCAGUUUAGAAACUGCUGCUCCUUAAGACUUAUUCGUGUCUAUCGUAUAUUUACCUAAGCAUGUUUCCUCACUUACUGUUAUUUAACUUUAUGUGCCUGUGUCUCAUUUCUUCAACUAAAAAACUAAGUUAAUUCAGUGCAGUCAUCACACUGGAUACUUACUUGUUUUCCCAGGAGUAUUUGACAUAGCAGCUCAUUCCUAGUGGGUAGUAGGAAAUUAUUUGUGGUUGACUGACUGUAGGCUUUCAUCACUCAGUUUGUGGUCAGAUAUUGGUGGAAUUUAUGAAAAAGAUCAUUCAAAUUUGCAGUCAGCCCUGGCUUGUGGGAGAUGCCAUGGCUUGCUAUUUUUCUUCGUGAAUUGCCUCUUGCUACAGAGUCCGUUUUAAAAAGGACUGGAGUAGGAGAAUUGGUGUGGAAGCAAUCUUCUUAACAUAAUCUAUGAGAUUCUGGACCCUAAAUGAGAUAAAGCAUAAAGCGGCACUAAUAUCAAUUAAUAGUGUAUGACCAAGUUGUGUUUGACAAAACUACAAUAAAGAUAUGCUCCAAAGUAUCUAGAGACAUGCUUAGUCUAAAAAGCUCCCUUUUUGUUAGAAUAACGUAAAAACAGUAGCAACACUACAGCAACAGCAACAGAGGGGAAGAUCUCAUCUAUAUGUCUAUGUAGCACUUAAUGAUUUACCUACUAACCCAAGAACAUUGUAUCUCAUUAUUUAUGCUUAUCCGUGCCAUACAGCACUAAUCAGGGCAUCCUAUGAAAAUCCAUUUGCUUUUUCAAACUCUAUCCUUUUGCUUAUGUUGUUCCAUAUCCUAAAAUUUUCUCUUACCCUUUCCAUAUAUCCAAAUUUUAGUGCUUUUAAAGAUGUAACCUAAAUGCCAUGGCAGCCAUGAAACUCCCUUUUACUCUGCAAUAAGAAGUUGUCUCUCCUGCCUUUUGAAAUUCACGAAGCACUCAAGUAUAUAUUUCCUACAGCAGUUAUCAUAUUGUCUUACAUCACAAUUGUUUUGAUUCUGCUAGUAAGGGUUCAGAAAUAUCUUUUAUAUAAUUUGGUUAAUUAAAUAACCUUCCAAAUAAAGAGAUAACUGUGCCAGAUUCAUGUUUCCUUUCUACAUUUCAAACUUACAAAUGCUUGGCAAAUAAAAUGUUGUCUGAACAUUUGUAUAUGGUACAUUAAUAAAAAGAGGAUAUCAGUUCUUGGGAUGGGUCUUUUUUUUUUGCCCCCUUGGGACAGGGACAAAUCCUAGGUAUGUUCUGAGGCAGAUGGAAGUUGUUGCCUUUGAUUUCAAAAUACCCCUGUAAUGUGAUUUAGGAAAUACAAUAAUGUAAAAUCAUGAAAUAUUUCUGUUCCCAAAAUGGAGCUUUCAGUGACAGACCUGUACAGUAGACUGUUGAAUUGGCCAAUAAUUUAUACACUGGCUACUAUUUUUUUUGUUUCUAAUUCUUCUUUGCCUAGCCAUCUAUUUUUUUUUUUUUUAGGAAAUUGAAGGAAAAAUAAAUAACAUAUCUUGGUCUUCUCCAUAAUACUUAAGUUCUUUAUGGAAAUGAUAGAAGUCUUUAUAUCUCCUGGGUGCAUAGUACUAUGACCUUUCCUGUGUAGAUGUAUAUUAAAUAAGUAAUGAAGAGUUAAUCAAAAUGACUACUUACUAUAUUAGAAAUCGAAGUACCAUAUUGUACUUCCUUUCGCUAAUGUAUUUACUUCAAUUCGAUAAAACCACCAUGGAUUACUAUCCAGCAAUAUAAUAAUUCACAUCAAAUUUCAAUAUUUAAUUAUUUCAUGGAUAACAAAAAUUUGUAUAAAAUUCGUAAAAAUAGAAAAAUUUGAAGCCAUAUAUUUAUUUCACAGAGGUUAUUUUGGUGUCCUGCAAAAAUUGUACUUAAUUUUUGAACAGUAAAAUUAAAAUUCAAAAGAGAAAGUCUUAAAAGACUAGAAAUACACAGCAAGCUUUCUGGAAGUUAUUUCAUUAUGAAAUUCUUACAGAAAUUCAAAAGAAUUGAAAGUUGAUGUAAUUAUGGUUACUUUUACUGGAGAUACCAACUUUUUGGCUUUAAUUACCUGAGCAUAAAUUGAGAAGGAGAGUCUAUACACUAAAAAGACAUUACAUUGUUAUGUAUAACAGAACACGGGUCUUUGCUCCAAUGCUCGGUUGCAUACUCUCCUCCUUUGUCAAGAGGUAAGUGGCUUAAAAUGACAUCUUGCUUAGUUUACAAUGGCAAGCUUCCUAGGUUUGUAGGAAGAAUAAUUUGAAUGCUCUGUUUGCUAAAAGAAAAAGUUUUUAAUAGUAUUUAAUUGCUUUUACUAAGCCGUCAGAAGGCUCCUAUUGAAAGCAAUUGAAAUAGUUAAUUCCUUUUUCCCGGAAAAAGGAAUUACACCCCGCUUCUACUUUGUUGAGUAGGAGUGAAGUUGGUGAGAAUAAUUGUUUGACUAGAUAUGACUCUAGCCAGAAUUUAAAUUAGCCAGUAUUGGAUAAUAUUAUUUUAUUUGUAUUCUACCUCCUUAAUAUUGAGAUCAACCGUCACUUAUUAAUAGCAGCGAGUUUGGGCAAACAAAAUCACAAAAUAGCGUGUAUACACCUGAAUUUUAUUGUUUUCAAACAAUAAUAACAAACUCGUAAAUAAGCAGUGACAUAGAACCUUUUUUUCUCUUUCCACAAAGCAAUCAAUAUGUGAGUCUAAGCAUUCUUCACAUUGCUAGUCUACAGGUUUCUGAGAUACUUUGAGCCACAUUAGUAUUUUAUAACAUAAUGGUAAUACACAUUUUUGGUUUUUUGUUUUCUUUAUGAUAUUGAUCCCUUUUGCACCUUAGGAUUGUCAGUAUAAUGUCCAAGAAUAUCGAAGCUGUGUUGGGGGAUGGUUUCAGGAUGAAGCUGUUCUGCCUCAGAACAUCAGGCAUGGAACAUGCAGCCUAGACCCCUCACAUGCGCAGUUCACAAUGUUUUUGUGUGUGUUUGCUUGUCUUUGUAUUUUCUAUUUGGUUAGGCUUGUGGCUUGUUGUUGAGUCAAAGUGGAAGCCAAAAAGCUUCUAAAAGUCAGUUAGAAGCUCUUGACAAAUCUGUAAGAAUUUUGAAGUCAAUUAAGAGCUAUCCUUGAGUUAACUGUGCUCAUUUGGAAUAUCUCAUUUGUGCCAUAGAUGACUCAUAGGGGGAACAGAAGCUCUCUUCAUGCUUUUCCUCCACUCAAUGCAAGUUUUGAGAUUUAUUCCUCAUUGCGGCAGCAUAGCUCUGCUUGUUUUUCUCUAAAGAAGAAUUGACUCAUGCCUCCUCAAAUCUUUCGAACGAUUACCUGAGAAUGUUAAGUAUGUCAAAUUUUAACUCAUUAUUUUCAAAUCAAUAGACAACUGUAGCUACAACUCAAAUUUUCUAUUUCAAUGUAGAAGUGCUGUGCUAUAUUCUCAUAUUCAACUUUGCCUAACGCAUUUCUAUGCUAUUAAAUUUGCAAAGUUUAAGACAAGAUGCCGAAAAAAUGGUAUUGGACCACUGAAAUAUUAAUGGUGGAUGUUUAAGGAUUUAAUGGCUACAUGAACUACCUUAAAGCAAUUUAAAACAUAUGUAGUUUUUCAAACUAUGCAUUAAGUACUAUAAAAGCAACUUGGAACCCAUUAGCAUGUUAAAUCAGGGGACCCCAAGCCAUGGCCGCCAACUGGAACUGGUCUGUGGCCCAUGGCCUGUUAGGAACUGGUCCACAUCACAGGAGGUAAGCAGCCAGCCAGCAUUACCACCUGAGCUCCGCCUCCUGUCAGAUUAGCAGUGGCAUUAGAUUAUCAUGGGAACACAAACCCUAUUGUGAGCUGCGCAUGUGAGGGAUCUAGGCUGCAUGUUCCUUAUGAGAAUCUAACUAAUGCCUGAUGUUCUGAGGUGGAACAGAUUCAUCCUGAAACCAUCCCCCAACAGUCUGUGGAAAAUUAUCUUCUAUGAAAUUGGUCCUUGGUGCCAAAAAGGUUGGGGACCACUGUGCUAAAGCAUUCUAGAGCCAUUGUUAUAUGGUUACACGAUAAUUAUUCAUUUCUUCUUAGUGAGUAGACGAGAAGAUGUAGAUUCCUAUCAAUAAACUGCGAAGGUGUAAUACAAAUGCUAAUAGAGAUUUUGUAAACAUUCUCCUUAUUGCUGAUUUUACAUUAUUUUGCUGAAUCAUAAAGGGACUAUUCAUAGAGCUAAUAAUUUCUUCAAAAGAAACAAACACAAAUACAUAUAUUAGCAACUUUAUUGGAAAAAAUAUUUCAUUUUCUUUUAAAAAUAAAAGGUAUUUGAAAUUAUUAUUAUUUUGUUUGUCAAAAACAAAUUAGUUAGCAGUAUUGUAUUACAUAUGAGUUUUCCAAAUAGAAGUUUAUUCAUUUAACUGCAUUAUGAACUUGUCCAAUAUUCAUAAUGUUCUAUAAUUGCUUUAUAUUUGAAAUGUGAGUGAUUUCAAUUGUAAGAAAUUACUAGAAAGGAAGUUAAACAGAAAAUGUUUUCAGAAUAGCUAAUCUUUCCCCCUUUAUCCUCCUUUUUUAGUUACCUUAUUUUUUGCCUUUUGAUUUUUACUCAUGUUUUCUGAUUGUUUUACUGUUAAAUUCAAGCAGUUGAAGAUAAAUGUGUUGCUGAGAGCAUGGACAUUGUUAGUCAUGUUGACGUCUGUGUCACCAGAAACUAGAAACAGUGCCAAGCACAGAAAUGCUCAAUAAAAAGUUGUUGAAAGACAACUGAAGGAAGAAAAUCUUAGGACCAUCUGCCCAAUGAUCCAAAGCUUAUUUUCACAAACAAAAUUGGACAAAAGCAAGAUAAUUGAACUCUGUAUCCAGCAGAAUGCCUUGCACAAAGUGAGUGCAUAAUAUUCCUUGUAUUCAUACAAUAAAAUUUUAUUAAUUUUUAAAUUGCAAUACAAAUUAAGACCUUGAACAAAUAUUCGGUUGUGUCCCAGCAGCUGAGAACACAAGGCAAAAACCAACCCCAGAGAGGAUGCCAUCCAUCGGAGGGCACAGUCACACACUCCGUGCACUCGCUACGACUGGGACAAUGUAGACACACCAAUUAACUUAAAGUGCACAUCUUUGGAAUGUGGGAGGAAACUAGAGUACAUGUAGAAAACCCAUGCAGACAUGAGGAGAAGUGCAAACAACACAGGCAGCGGCCCCAACUGGGAAUCAACAUUUUUUUGUCAUCAUAAUAACUAAAUAACAUUGAAUGAAAUGUCUUUAUUAGAGGACUUGCUGUAUAUUUAAGUGUAUAGAACCUAUUUUUAAUAUUCAAAAUUCUUAUAUUCAAAAUUUUCACAUUCUUCCUUAACAUGAACAUUGAGUCUGCAAAGUCAGAUAAGUGAAAUUUAAACUUAAAUUAAAAAGAGUGAAUUCUUUUCAAGGCUAUCUUGUCCUUGUGCAAGUAUUUAAAGCUCCUAAUAUUCUACAUUAUAUCUUAUUUAUGAUAACUGACUAGGGAUAUGAAAUUAGUAAUAUGAAACUAGCAUUUAAAAUCUCUAGACUCUCAUCUCUUUUUUGAGUAUUUAUAAAGUGUAUUCAACCACUGGGAAAAAAAAGUCUAUAUUUACACGUCCUCUGAAAUCACACGUUUAUUGGAAAGUUAGGCACAAAUAGUUAAGAAGAAGGUGACUGAAAAUUUCUGGUGUUUUAGAUUUGACCUACUUCCCUUAUUCUUCUGUGGUAUCCUUCCAAGUAUCAGAGAGAACAGAUGGAAUUAAGUGUAUACACACAAAAUAGAUUGAUAGAGAAUAGACAUAUUUAUAUAGAUUAUGACUAAAGUAUAUACCAGGUUUCUUUACCUAGGAAAUAUUUGCGUAUCUAAGGUCAUUUUUUCUAUUUAACCUACUGUUCACCCUUUGUGUUCUGCACUGAUGCCAUGCAAACCCACUUUACAUUUCCCAAAUGGGAACUAACGACUGUGAAUUAUUCUACCAUAAAUUUGAUUUCACUUCACAUAAAUGGGUCUUUUUAUUGUAUAUAAUUAAGAUGAAGAAGGUCAUUAUAAUCAAGGCAAUCACCAGGAGAGAUGCAUGUACAGUUAAACUUUGCAUUCAUUGCUAUUUUCUGUGAAACUCCAAUUUUGGAUCCCAUUACCUAAUCUGUUUCAAAACAAUGUCUGUGCUAACCCAUUAAUUCCUCCUAAAUUUUCUAUUUUAACCCUUUUUAAAUUUAUUAAAGCAAUGAGAAAUUUUCUUCCACUACCAAAAUAUACGUGGAGCUAUAUCAACUUGGAGAUCAUUUUACAACUGGGAAAAAGACACCGAGUCUCAGUUCAUGAAGAUUUUUCUGUACUUAAUAUGAGCCAGGUGCUCUGCUCCAUUGUGUGGGGGUCAUUAGGAUAGGUCGGUUGGAUGGGAAAUCUAACACAUAGAGGCCCCCUCACAGCAUAAAAGUGUAUAAGUUAACUCAUAUCAUGUUUACUCAAAAAUGUAUAGGCAAGUAAAGUCAUAGUUUUCGCAGUCAAUUGUGUGUUUUCUUAUCUCAGAGACAAGUAUCUCAAUAAUUCUCACUACAUAAAGCCAUAUAAAUUUCAGAGUACUCAAUAUGAUAAGUAGUCAGGUGAAUAUAAAAUUCAGCCACAUAUUGGAGAGAGUUCACCCUCCUGUAUCCUGAUAAGUAUUCUUGAAGAAUAAAAUUUUAAUAUAGACAGCUUCUCAAUUACUGGACACUGAAAACAAUUUACUGGCCAUUAUUCAUCUCUUUGCAGAUUUUUUUAAAUCUAAUUAGUAGUAACUUCUACUACCCAUUUUCUAGUUAAGGUUUGAAUAAUAAAUUUGAAGCUAAAAAAUGUGCUCUUGAAAUUCUCUAUAAGGUAAAAUUUUAGUUUAUGGGCAAAUACCCAAUAGCAACUGAAUUAAACUAUUUUUCUGUGAGUGUGAUGCUAAAUCAGCCCUUUGACUCAUUUUGCAACAGGGAGACAGAAAAUUGAAUUCAUCAACAUUUCUUUCAUCUGUUUCUAGGCUGAUAUACAAGAGUAAAAAUUUAUUAACAAAGAUACAUAAUCCAAAUUAUGUGUGAAAGAGGAAGAAUUAUCAUAAGACUGCUUUUAAUGACUUCUUUGAAUGGCUUCAUUCCUUUCUUUAAAGGAAAAGCCAACAAAGUUAUGUUUAACCAUUAACUGAUAAAAUAGCCCAUUGGUAGCCUCGACAAGAUAUUCUCUAUAUUUUUCUAAUGUGAUUUUGUGUUUGAGAUAUUAAGCCAACUACUCCUUCAUUAAAUUAAAGAGACCAUUAUUUCAAAUAUAGUCAUUAUUUAUUUCCUUUUUACGUACUAAGUCCAAGUUUAUAAUAAGAAUUGCUGAGUUUAUUCUCUUAAUACAACCUUUUGAGACAUGUGUCACAAUAACGCUUUUUCUCUAUUAUUCUUCAACAAAAUUGAAUAUGUAGCUAUAUGUAGCUAUACAUAUGGUAUUCUUAUGUAGCUAUACAAAUUGGUACAUAGCAUUGCUCUGCAUUUGGAAAAUGCAAAUUACUCUCAAACAAAAUUCUUUUAAAGACUUGAGGAAAAAUAGAAAUCUAAUAUAAAAUAUUAAGACAUAAAAAAUGUGAGUAAUGAUUAUUUGAUUAGUCUGAUUUUAUUAUAUAAUAAAUUUAAAGAGAAAACUAUGAACAAGAUAAAGAUAAUAACUAAUGAAAAGUAAUAGAAGUUUAGGAAAAUAACUUCAAUUUAUUUUACGUGAGUAAAAGAUUGGUCUAUAAAGAGAAAGCCCAAAUGUAAUGUUCACUUGGAACCCAUUAGCAUGUUAAACCAGGGGUCCCCAAGCCAUGGCCGCCAAGUGGAACUGAUCCGUGGCCCAUGGCCUGUUAGGAACUUGUCUGCACCGCAGGAGGUAAGCAGCCAGCCAGCAUUACCACCACCUGAGCUCCGCCUCCUGUCAGAGCAGCAGUGGCAUUAGAUUAUCACGGGAACACAAACCCUACUGUGAACUGCCCAUGCGAGGGAUCUAGGUUGUGUGCUCCUUAUAAUAAUCUAAUGCCUGAUGAUCUGUCACUGUCUCCCAUCAUCCCCCAGAUGUCCAAGCCAAGUGGUUUCUGAAUUUCCAUUGAGUAGCUGGAUCAAUUAUGCCAUUAAAUAUUUGAAUUAAGUAACAGACUUCCUUUCUUCUUAUUUCAUGCUCAAUCAACUUUUCUAUCAUAAUUUGUGUUCCCCUGUAGCUUGUUAUAUUGAGACAAUAUAAUAUGUAGAAGACAGUGGGACUUAACUCACUCAUUUUUCCUUUCCAUGAGAAGUUUAUUAGCAUUAUGUUUUAUAUAUUUAAGUCAUCUGUAACUAAGUCUCUGUAUUCAAUCUAUAUUUGUGCAGUGAUAGAAUGGCAUCUUAGGCCUAGGGAGCAAGUGAUUGGCAUCUGGUAAAGAGUGUUUUAGCUCCUGCGAUCUACCUUAUAUAUAUAUAUAGACACACACACACACACACACACACAUAUAAUACAUAUAUGUAUAUGUAUUUAUAUAUACAUGCACACAUUUUUCUAUAUGUUCAGUGUGAUACCAAUCAACAGCCAAAGUUUUUUUAUGAAAUAUGAACUGAUUGCAUAUUUCAUAUGGAUAAAAAUAAAGAAUAACUAAGGUAGUUUUGAAAAACCAAUACAAUGAUGGUGGUAUUCUCUUAUAAAAUCCCCCUAAGGUACAUUAACCUAUAAUAAACAGUGUGCCAUAUACAUGAAUGAAAAUAAUGGACCUAUGGAAUACACAUUAGAUUACCAAACAGUCUUCAUCAGGUAUAUAGCUUGUGAUAAAACUGGAAAUUUACUAUCGAAGGUUUGUACAGUAAAUGAUGUUUUGAAUAUUCUUUAUAAAUUGAAAUAUUAAUAAAUAAUUUUAAUAAACCCUUUCCUUAUACUACA
rnacentral:lncRNA from 1 species